AAAACACUAAUCACCUAUGAUCCCCUAACCUACAAUCCUGAUUCUAGACCUCCAGACUCCCCUAUCAAGUGUCAUAUCCUCGGUAACCUGCAUCCUGGCCAUGUCCUGCCUAAUCACCUCUCCCCAAUGCUUCUUAGGCCUCCCUCUCCCUCGCCGACCACCAACAAUCACCAACCGCUCGCAGCUCCUCACCGGGGCAUCGGGGCCCCUCCUCCGAACAUGCCCGAACCACCUCAGCCUCGCUUCNNNNNN
rnacentral:lncRNA from 1 species